CGGGAAGUAGCUCAGCUUGGUAGAGCACUUGGUUUGGGACCAAGGGGUGUCUUCCCGACCA
rnacentral:tRNA from 1 species